UGCCUAAACCGUCGGGGAAACCCGCGGCAUGGCGUAAAACCGAUGAGAGUAUAAAGCUCCUAGUCAGAGCACUCUCAUCGGUCAUAUCUCGAAAGGGAUAUGGGUGGCCGCAAGGCCAUC
rnacentral:sRNA from 1 species